AUAAUUACUUGUGAGAAAUUGUCAACAUGAAUAGAAAAAAGUUGACGUCACAAGAAAAAAGUCAAAAUGACAAAAACAAACCUCAUCUAGGUUUUAUUUGAUUGUUUUGUUCUUCUAUAAAUGUCUGUAAUUUGUACUGUUAUGAUAUCUGUCAGCCUUCGAUGAAGGUCUCUCUUCUCCUUUUUUUCCCCAGCAAUAUUCAAAAUGAACCUUGAUAAAAAUAAUUUGUGAGAAAUUGUCAACAUGAAAAGAAAAAAGUUGAAGUGACGAGAAAAAAGUCAAAAUAAUGAGAAAAUCGUCAAAAUGAAAAGAAAAAGUAAAAGAGAAAUGAGAAAAUCGACAAAAUAAUGAAAAUACAUGAAAAAAAGUCGAAAUAAGGAGAAAAAAGUCACGAAAAAUGAUUCAAAAUGAGAAAAAAAAGUCAAUCACGAGAAAAAAAAAAAAAGAGAAAAAUGGUAGGUUUUCACCUACUCAGUCCAAGGUAUGUAAUAUCUUUUAUUACUGUAUUAUAGAACAAGAUUGCUGUCUUUGAAUAUUUUAUUAUGUUUUCUUUUCUUGUCCACUCAUGCAAGACAUGAGGCGUAUUUUCAUUUUCUUUUAUUUGAUUGUUUUGUUCUUGUUGAAAUGUCUGUAAUUUGCACUGUUAUGAUAUCUGUAAGCCUUGGAUGAAGGUCUCUCUUCUCUUCUUUUUUCCAGCAUUAUUCAAAAUUAACCUUGAUGAAAAUUACUUGUGAGAAAUUGUCAACAUGAAAAGAAAAAAGUUGACGUCACAAGAAAAAAGUCAAAAUGACAAAAACAAAACUCAUCUUGGUUUUAUUUGAUU